UACGUAGGGUGCGAGCGUUGAUCGGAAUUACUGGGCGUAAAGGGUGCGCAGGCGGUUUUGUAAGUCAGAUGUGAAAUCCCCGGGCUUAACCUGGGAAUUGCGUUUGAAACUGUAGAGCUAGAGUGUAGCAGAGGGGGGUGGAAUUCCAUGUGUAGCAGUGAAAUGCGUAGAGAUAUGGAAGAACAUCGAUGGCGAAGGCAGCCCCCUGGGUUAACACUGACGCUCAUGCACGAAAGCGUGGGGAGCAAACAGG
rnacentral:rRNA from 1 species